AUGAGACAACUGGACCUGAGAUUUGGAAGGCCACUGCUGGGAAAGUUGAUAUCCUUGUCUCUGGCAUUGGAACCGGUGGUACAGUAACCGGAACAGGAAAGUACCUCAAGGAGCAGAACCCUGAGAUCAAGGUAACUUAUAUACUCCCUCCGUCCCAUAAUAUAAGGGAUUUUAAGUUUUUGCUUGCACGGUUUGACCAUUCGUCUUAUUCAAAAAAUUUUAGAAUUAUUAUUUAUUUUCUUUGUGACUUACUUUAUUAUCCAAAGUACUUUAAGCAUAAUUUUUCGUUUUUUAUAUUUGCACAAAAUUUUUGAAUAAAACGAGUGGUCAAACAUUGUAAGCAAAAACUCAAAAUCCCUUAUAUUAUGGGACGGAGGGAGUACUUGUUUGCAUGUUUUUAUGGUUUUGUGUAUAUGUGAUGGUGACUUAACUGUGUACUAAUUUUGUCUUAAAGAUCUAUGGUGUUGAACCGACAGAAAGUGCAAUUUUAUCUGGAGGAAGACCUGGUAAGAUACUGCUCUUUGUAUAGCUCAACUUGCAUAAAUCACAUUAGUAAUACUAGUACUAUUUGUGAUGCAUAACUAUGGAUGUCAAAAAUUAUUUGAAACAUAGGGUGCACAGUAUGGAUGGUUCACGUAUUUGAUGUAAUAAUUUAGCUGUCUCGAUUCUGUUGAACCAUCAUGACAUUAUCACUGUUCCAUGUUUUUGGUUUCAGG
rnacentral:lncRNA from 1 species